ACCCCAUGACAAUGGGCAAAGCAACAGAUUAUUGGUAGUAUUGUUCUUAUAUAAGUCAGGGGCAAAGCAGAUGGCAGUUCUUUGUUCAUCCUAGUUUGAUGCCUGGCUUGGUGGCCAAAGCUGUUUUGUGCCUAGGACACAUAA